CCCGUACCGUAAACCGACACAGGUAGUCGAGGAGAGUAUCCUAAGGCGCUCGAGUGAUCCGUGGCUAAGGAACUAGGCAAAAUGGUCUCGUAACUUCGGGAGAAGAGACUCCCCUCGUGAGAGGGGACGCAGUGAAGAGGCCCAGGCGACUGUUUAACAAAAACACAGGACUCUGCAAAAUCGUAAGAUGAAGUAUAGGGUCUGACACCUGCCCGGUGCUGGAAGGUUAAGGAAGGUGCUUAGCGCAAGCGAAGGUAUUGACUGAAGCCCCAGUAAACGGCGGCCGUAACUAUAACGGUCCUAAGGUAGCGAAAUUCCUUGUCGGGUAAGUUCCGACCUGCACGAAUGGUGUAACGAUCUGGACACUGUCUCAGCCAUGAGCUCGGUGAAAUUGUAGUAUCGGUGAAGAUGCCGAUUACCCGCAACGGGACGGAAAGACCCCGUGAACCUUUACUACAACUUCACAUUGAGCUUGAAUACAGGAUGUGUAGGAUAGGUGGGAGGCUACGAAGCUGUGACGCUAGUCAUGGUGGAGCCAACGUUGAAAUACCACCCUUCCUGUAUUUAGGUUCUAAUCCCUAAAAGGGAAACAGUGUGUGGUGGGUAGUUUGACUGGGGUGGUCGCCUCCAAAAAAGUAACGGAGGCUCGCAAAGGUACACUCAGCAUGGUCGGUAAUCAUGCGAAGAGCGUAUUAGUAUAAGUGUGCUUGACUGAGAGACCGACGGGUCGAUCAGGAACGAAAGUUGGCUAAAGUGAUCCGGUGUUUCCGCAUGGAAGGGACAUCGCUCAAAGGAUAAAAGGUACUCCGGGGAUAACAGGCUGAUCCUACCCAAGAGCUCAUAUCGACGGUAGGGUUUGGCACCUCGAUGUCGGCUCGUCACAUCCUGGGGCUGGAGAAGGUCCCAAGGGUUGGGCUGUUCGCCCAUUAAAGUGGCACGCGAGCUGGGUUCAGAACGUCGCAAGACAGUUCGGUCCCUAUCUGUUGUGGGCGCAGGAAUAUUGAAGGGAGCUGAUUCUAGUACGAGAGGACCGAAUUGGACGUACCGCUAGUGUACCGGUUGUGGCGCCAGCUGCACCGCCGGGUAGCUAUGUACGGCAAGGAUAAGCGCUGAAAGCAUCUAAGCGCGAAGCCAUCCCUAAGAUGAGUAUUCCAGCACGUAAGUGUAAAGGACCCCAGAAGACUACUGGGUUGAUAGGUUAUAGGUGGAAGUGCAGUAAUGUGCGUAGCCGAGUAAUACUAAUUGUCCGACAGCUUCCUUUU
rnacentral:rRNA from 1 species